rnacentral:rRNA from 1 species
CUACUGUUUCGUAGGUGAC